rnacentral:rRNA from 1 species
AUGACCAGGAAGAAGAAGGGCGCUCGUGGUCGUCGGCCGAGGAGGGAAGCCGGCGACGAAUGGUGGCCGAGGAGGUACGCCGACGAGGACUGGCCGCACCUCGUCGACAUGGUGCUGUCUUGGAGCCUCGAGGACGUCAUGGACGAGGGUCUCUUCAAGAACAAGCUGAAAAGGAUACCGUCCAUAUUCAAUGAUAUCAAGAGCUACUUAGGAUCCUACACAUCUCCACUGUUGGAGGAGUUGCGAGCUGACAUGUCGUCCAGCUUGGAAGCCAUCUCCACCGAGUCUUUUGUCAAAGUAGCAUGGAUCGAGCAAACAAAAUAUAGUGCAGUUUAUAACAUUGCUUUUGAGGCUGAUUCUCAGAAUACAAAGUCUUGCAACAAAUCUGAAAGCAAUGGUCGAAGUGUUGGUGAUAUCAUUAUCCUGUCUGAUGUGAAGCCAGAAAACAUAUCUGAUAUUAAUUGCAAUGGGAGGCCGUACUAUAUUGCCUUCAUUACUGAUGGAGCGGAUGAAGAUGAUGACUCACCUCCAGCCAGCUAUGUGAUAAGAGCAUCAGGAAAAAUUGAUGCUGCAGAUGAGGUCAGUGAAGAUGGGAAGAGGAGACCACUUUUUGCAGCUCAUUUGCUGAAUAUUGUGACCUACAUCCGCAUAUGGCGCUGCCUUGACUACACAACAGUCAGGAGAAACCAAAACCUCAUACAGGAGAUGGUACAAUAUCCACGGGUUGCAAAUAUUCUCCCAAAAAAUGCAAAGGGUGUUGCUUCAAUUGACAGCAUGGAAAUAUGGAGUGAAUUGUCUACAAUGGAUCUGAACAACUCUCAAAAUGAUGCCAUCCUGAACUGUAUUUCAGCAAUGCUCUGCAACAGCAGCAGCAGUUUAAGCCUUAUCUGGGGACCUCCUGGCACAGGAAAGACCAAAACAAUCACUGUACUCUUGUGGUUAAUGAGGAAACUGAAACAUGGUACACUUACAUGUGCACCGACAAACCUUGCUGUUAAACAAGUUGCUUCAUGUUUCUUAAGGUUGAGCAAAGAGAACCCUCUGGAUACAAGUUGCUUAGGAGAUGUUCUGUUGUUUGGCAAUAAACAUCGCAUGUGUGUUGGAGAUGAUCUGAAAGAGAUUUACUUACAUGAUCGUGUAAGGAAGCUUCUUGUUUGCUUUGCACCAUUGACUGGAUGGAGACAUUGUCUGUCUUCCAUGUACGAUUUUCUUGAGAAUGGUUACUCCCAGUACCUUCGAUAUUCUGAAGAACAAAAGGAGGAUAAUAAACCUUCCUUUUUGCAUUACACCAGGAAAAAGCUUGAUUCUAUUUAUCCUGAGCUCCGAAGAUGUUUCAAACAGCUACUAUUUCAUGUCCCAAAAUCUUGUAUUUUGGAGGUGAAUUACAAUAACAUCAUUUCACUACUCGAACUGCUUGAAGAUUUCAAUACACACCAGAGGAAAACUACCGGGGUUGAGAUAAAGGAAGUUUUCUUGUAUAAAGAUGUUCCAAGGAAAUCCAGCAUGGGCAUUCUUCCCAAGACAGUGAUAACCAUCGGCAAAACCAGAAUUAAAUGCCUUGAGCUGCUAAAGAUGCUAUUAAGUUGCUUGAAACUUCCUAUAACAUCCUCCAAACGCACCAUCCGAGAAUUCUGUAUGGAAAGUGCCAGCAUAAUUUUCUGCACUGUUUCUAGCUCUUCCAAAGUAACAAGCAAUAAAAAACUAGAGUUGCUUGUUGUUGAUGAGGCUGCUCAGUUGAAAGAAUGUGAAACAUUGAUCCCUUUGAGUUUUCCUGCAUUGAAGCAUGCUAUCCUCAUUGGUGAUGAGUGUCAACUACCAGCAACAGUUGUUAGUAAGGUUUGCAAGGAUGCAUUAUUUGGGAGAAGUCUCUUUGCGAGGUUGAGUUCACUGGGACAUGAAAAGUAUCUGCUUAACAUGCAAUACAGAAUGCAUCCAUCCAUUAGCAUUUUUCCAAACACCAGCUUCUAUGGCGGGCAACUCUUGGAUGCUCCUAGUGUCAUGCAAAAAGAACACCAAAAGAAGUAUCUUCCAGGUUCUAUGUUUGGUACUUACUCUUUCUUCAAUAUUGAAGAUAGUUGGGAGGAUGUCGAUGAACUUGGUCAUAGCAGGAAGAACGUGGUUGAAGUUACCAUUAUCCAGGAAAUCUUGCAAAAUCUCCGAAGAGCUUGUUCUAAGACUAUGAAGAAGGUCACAGUUGGUGUCAUAUGCCCAUACUCUGCUCAAGUUCUAGCAAUUCAAGAAAAACUGAGGAAAAUGAAGUUUGGCCCCUUGUCAGUAAAAAUUAGUUCUGUUGAUGGCUUCCAAGGUGGCGAGGAAGACAUAAUCAUUUUAUCAACUGUCAGGUCCAACUCUGAUGGGGUGGUAGGGUUUGUUUCAGAUCGACAACGUACAAAUGUAGCUUUGACAAGAGCAAGACAUUGCCUUUGGAUUUUGGGAAAUGCCGCAACCCUAUCCAGGAGUGGUUCUAUCUGGGCAGAUGUAGUGCGCAAUGCCAAGGAGCGGCAGUGUUUCUUCAAUGCAAAAAGUGAUGGGGCUAUUUCUCGUGUGAUUGCUAAGCAUGAGAGUGAGCUCAGUUCAGUUAAAGACAAAAGUGUUACACCUUUACAAGUUAAAAAUAACACUGUUUGGGUUCAGGCACCAUCUCGAACUCGUAAGGGGCAGAAACGUCAACGACACCCUUAUUUGAAAUGUGGUCCAUCUCAUGCUGGGAGUCGUCAACGAGGCGGUGUCGCCUCCGGUCCCGAUCCACAUCGCCGAAAGGAUAAAGGGAUCGUUGAAGAUCUCAUUGCUUCCUUCAGCAGUCUUAGACUCCGUUGA